ACGCGCUCCAUGCAGUCGAGCGGUAGCACAGAGAGCUUGCUCUCGGGUGACGAGCGGCGGACGGGUGAGUAAUGUCUGGGAAACUGCCUGAUGGAGGGGGAUAACUACUGGAAACGGUAGCUAAUACCGCAUAACGUCGCAAGACCAAAGUGGGGGACCUUCGGGCCUCAUGCCAUCAGAUGUGCCCAGAUGGGAUUAGCUAGUAGGUGGGGUAACGGCUCACCUAGGCGACGAUCCCUAGCUGGUCUGAGAGGAUGACCAGCCACACUGGAACUGAGACACGGUCCAGACUCCUACGGGAGGCAGCAGUGGGGAAUAUUGCACAAUGGGCGCAAGCCUGAUGCAGCCAUGCCGCGUGUGUGAAGAAGGCCUUCGGGUUGUAAAGCACUUUCAGCGGGGAGGAAGGCGAUAAGGUUAAUAACCUUGUCGAUUGACGUUACCCGCAGAAGAAGCACCGGCUAACUCCGUGCCAGCAGCCGCGGUAAUACGGAGGGUGCAAGCGUUAAUCGGAAUUACUGGGCGUAAAGCGCACGCAGGCGGUCUGUCAAGUCGGAUGUGAAAUCCCCGGGCUCAACCUGGGAACUGCAUUCGAAACUGGCAGGCUAGAGUCUUGUAGAGGGGGGUAGAAUUCCAGGUGUAGCGGUGAAAUGCGUAGAGAUCUGGAGGAAUACCGGUGGCGAAGGCGGCCCCCUGGACAAAGACUGACGCUCAGGUGCGAAAGCGUGGGGAGCAAACAGGAUUAGAUACCCUGGUAGUCCACGCCGUAAACGAUGUCGAUUUGGAGGUUGUGCCCUUGAGGCGUGGCUUCCGGAGCUAACGCGUUAAAUCGACCGCCUGGGGAGUACGGCCGCAAGGUUAAAACUCAAAUGAAUUGACGGGGCCCGCACAAGCGGUGGAGCAUGUGGUUUAAUUCGAUGCAACGCGAAGAACCUUACCUGGUCUUGACAUCCACAGAACUUUCCAGAGAUGGAUUGGUGCCUUCGGGAACUGUGAGACAGGUGCUGCAUGGCUGUCGUCAGCUCGUGUUGUGAAAUGUUGGGUUAAGUCCCGCAACGAGCGCAACCCUUAUCCUUUGUUGCCAGCGGUUCGGCCGGGAACUCAAAGGAGACUGCCAGUGAUAAACUGGAGGAAGGUGGGGAUGACGUCAAGUCAUCAUGGCCCUUACGACCAGGGCUACACACGUGCUACAAUGGCAUAUACAAAGAGAAGCGACCUCGCGAGAGCAAGCGGACCUCAUAAAGUAUGUCGUAGUCCGGAUUGGAGUCUGCAACUCGACUCCAUGAAGUCGGAAUCGCUAGUAAUCGUAGAUCAGAAUGCUACGGUGAAUACGUUCCCGGGCCUUGUACACACCGCCCGUCACACCAUGGGAGUGGGUUGCAAAAGAAGUAGGUAGCUAACCUCGGGAGGGCGCUACACUAUAGC
rnacentral:rRNA from 1 species